CAGGAAUUUGACUUGCUUAAUUACUCCUUGAGCAGCGCACGCAUCUUCUUCCGAGCCGACUUAACAGCUGCCGAGGAAAAAGAACAAAAAUCCAAAGGAAACAAUUCGACAGAAGGAUCCUGUGAAUCUGCAUCAGUUGAUAUUACCUCUUAUUCAAUUAUGUAGAUUAACAGCAUGGUUUUAGGUGAUGGUGGUCACUUUUUUUUUCCUUAACAUUAGUUUUUUUCUCCCUUACUGCUGUUAAUUCAUAUUAAAAAAUUACAUAUAUAUAUAUAUA